AGUGUGUUGUGUGUAGUGUUGUGUGUAGUGUGAAGUGUGUGUGUAGGUAGUUUGUAUGUAGUGUGUGUGUCUGUGAAGUGUGUGUGUGUGUGUGUGUGUGUAUGUGUGUGCAGUGUGUGUGGUGUGUGUGUAUGCAGUGUGUGUGUGUGUGUGUGUGUGUGCAAUGUGUGUGCAGUGUGUGUGUGUGUGCAACGUGUGUGCAGUGUGUGUGUCUGUGCAAUAUGUGUGCGGUGUGUGUGUGUGUGUGUGCAGUGUGUGUGUGCAGCGGUGAAGUGAAGAGAGAGCUGCUGGGAUGGUUGAAUCAUCCCUUCAUCAUCAGAGAGAGGUCCCCGGGAGUUCAUCUCCUGUGUGUGUGUGUGUGUGUAGCGUGUAUCCGUGUGUCUUCAUCUAAAGGGGAUAUCGGAGUCAUCAGCAUUACCGUAUGACUGGAGUUAUCAUUUCUGUGUGAUUCACAGGGUUUAAGUUGUAAUAAUGAUCACAGGUGUCAUGUACAGGGUUCAGGAGUACAGAGAGAGAGAGAGCUUCCCCAAGGCAUUUGGCAAUGAUAACAAUACCGUCCCAGACUGUAAUACUUCCUGAUCUGUAGCUAGGAAGACCUCACAUCAACGCAUGAAGAAAAAGGAGACUGAUAUGCUAAUCCUAAAACUGGAGAAUACUGGAGCUAAGACAUACUAAAGGACUGGAUGGCUGGCACAUGUUAUAAUGCUGCUCCCCAGUGCUUUUUAUUUCUGCAUACACAUUUAUUUAAAAAUAAUUAUUUUACUAGGCAAGUCAGUUAAGAACAAAUUCUUAUUUUCAAUGACGGCCUACGGGGGCAACAGUGGGUUAACUGCCUUGUUCAGGAGCAGAACGACAGAUUUUUACCUUGUCAGCUCGGGGAUUCCAUCGAGCAACCUAUCGGUUACUAGUCCAACGCUUUUACCCCGCCGCCCCUAACCACUAGGCUACCCUGCCUCCCCCUCUAACCACUAGGCUACCUGCCUCCCCCUCUAACCACUAGGCUACCUGCCUCCCCCCUCUAACCACUAGGCUACCUGCCUCCCCCCUCUAACCACUAGGCUACCCCGCCACCCCUAACCACUAGGCUACCCCGCCACCCCUAACCACUAGGCUACCCACCUCCUCUAACCACUAGGCUACCCCGCCACCACUAACCACUAGGCUACCCCGCCACCCCUAACCACUAGGCUACCCACCUCCCCUAACCACUAGGCUACCCCGCCACCCCUAACCACUAGGCUACCCACCUCCCCUAACCACUAGGCUACCCCGCCUCCCCUAACCACUAGGCUACCCCGCCUCCCCUAACCACUAGGCUACCCCGCCUCCCCUAACCACUAGGCUACCCCACCUCCCCUAACCACUAGGCUACC
rnacentral:lncRNA from 1 species